AGGCAGAGUACGACAAUCUGGCACCGUUGCUCGAGUCAGCGAAAAUCUGUAUCAACGUUACCAGAUUGUCGUACUUAGCACCGUUGCCAGAUUGUCGUACUCAGAGCAUAGUAUUUACCGGUUUCUGACGCCUAACUAUUGCCAAGAAACAGCAGGAUCUAACUCUUUUAACGAUAACUAUAAAUUAGUUUUGUUAUUGGAGCCCAGAAGACAGUUUUGGGGUAGGAAGUCGGGAAAUAUAAGCGGCUGAGUACCCUUCAUCCGGGACUCCUGAAUAUGUUUUCCUCUCAGUAUCCUACUUACAAAUAAAGGUUUUGCUAGUAUAUUCUCUCAAAUGUAUUUCUUUAUAUCAUGUUACUAUAGCUUGACCAAUCCUGCAAAAAUAUGUAGGCCUAGUGCUGUAUAGGCAACUUGGUGACUGAACACAAGCAUGCCGCUGUGCAUGUAUGUUUGCAUAGAUGGAAUAGACUAAGCAGGAUAACUAAAAUAUUAAGUUGUUCUCUCUACCAUACUACCCACAAUACUGUCUACUACCUCUACAUACUGUAAACUACUUUCAUCUAAUGUUACUACCUACAAUACUAUCCACUACCACCAUCUACUAUUUUUUUUUGUACAAUACUAUCUACUGUUAUUACCUAUUAUCUACUACACUCUCUACUACCUGGUAUACUAUCUACUACCACCAUCUAUUUUUUUUUUUGUACAAUACUAUCUACUGUUAUUACCUAUUACCUACUACACUCUCUACUACCUGGUAUACUAUCUACUACUAUCAUGUAAAAUACUGUAGGCUCUGCAGAACACCACAUGUUGGUCGUAUAAUGGAAAAAUAAAGAUAUUGAUCACACUAUUGUCAUUAGAAAACAACAAGAAUCCAAGGGUAAUAAAACAGCAAUUCAUAUUUAUUUAGAGAGAGCUUUAGUAAAUAUAUAGACACAUACAGUUAUGGUAAACAUCUCAGCAUAUCCGCACUGACGCAGCGGGACAAUGAUAUAAAACAGAGUCGAGUCCAUCUCUUAUUCACACCCUCACGACACAGGUCACGGGUCUGGAUAGAAGACUAGCCCAGACAAGCUUAGGUCCAGACAGAACAGGUCCCGAAAGAUUUAGGUCCAGGCAGAGCAGGUCCCAAAAGAUUCAGAUCCAGACAGCACAGGUCCCGAAAGAUUUAGGUCCAGGCAGAACAGGUCCCAAAAGAUUUAGGUCCAGGCAGAGCAGGUCCCAAAAGAUUUAGGUCCAGGCAGAACAGAUCCCAAAAGAUUUAGGUCCAGGCAGAACAGGUCCCAAAAGAUUUAGGUCCAGGCAGAACAGGUCCCGAAAGAUUUAGGUCCAGGCAGAACAGGUCCCGAAAGAUUCAGAUCCAGACAGCACAGGUCCCGAAAGAUUUAGGUCCAGGCAGAACAGGUCCCAAAAGAUUCAGAUCCAGACAGCACAGGUCCCGAAAGAUUUAGGUCCAGGCAGAACAGGUCCCAAAAGA